CCUUUCUCUUUUCCCUCCCCUUUCCUACCAUACCCCACCCCUCCCUUUUCCUCCCAAAUCUAGCAUCGGCCAAAGGCUAUAAUUUGGCUGUGAUGUCGUGACUAGAGGCCUUGAUCUGGCCUUGGCUAGAUAGUGAGAGGGAGGAGGAAGGUGGGGGGUGAGGUGUGGUGGGGAAAGGGAGGGGAAGGGGAAGGGAGGAGGGGAGGAAAGAAAGGGAGGAGGAAGAUGGGAAGAGGAUGAAGAAAGAGAGGGAGGAAGAAGAGGGUGGGGGAGAUGGGAGGAGGAGGAAGAAAGAGGGGGAGGAGAAAGGAGGUGGUGG
rnacentral:lncRNA from 1 species